rnacentral:rRNA from 1 species
CCUACGGGGGGCUGCAGUGGGGAAUAUUGGACAAUGGGCGAAAGCCUGAUCCAGCCAUGCCGCGUGUGUGAAGAAGGCCUUCGGGUUGUAAAGCACUUUCAGUGGGGAAGAAAGCCUUGGGGCUAAUACCCUCGACGAAGGACAUCACCCACAGAAGAAGCACCGGCUAACUCCGUGCCAGCAGCCGCGGUAAUACGGAGGGUGCGAGCGUUAAUCGGAAUUACUGGGCGUAAAGCGCGCGUAGGCGGUCUGAUAAGCCGGUUGUGAAAGCCCCGGGCUCAACCUGGGAACGGCAUCCGGAACUGUCAGGCUAGAGUGCAGGAGAGGAAGGUAGAAUUCCCGGUGUAGCGGUGAAAUGCGUAGAGAUCGGGAGGAAUACCAGUGGCGAAGGCGGCCUUCUGGACUGACACUGACGCUGAGGUGCGAAAGCGUGGGUAGCAAACAGGAUUAGAUACCCUAGUAGUC